rnacentral:rRNA from 1 species
AGAGUUUGAUCCUGGCUCAGGACGAACGCUGGCGGCGUGCCUAACACAUGCAAGUCGAGCGAGCAGAUUUCCUUCGGGAAUGAAGCUAGCGGCGGACGGGUGAGUAACACGUGGGCAACCUGCCUCAUAGAGGGGAAUAGCCUCCCGAAAGGGAGAUUAAUACCGCAUAAGAUUGUAGCUUCGCAUGAAGUAGCAAUUAAAGGAGCAAUCCGCUAUGAGAUGGGCCCGCGGCGCAUUAGCUAGUUGGUGAGGUAACGGCUCACCAAGGCGACGAUGCGUAGCCGACCUGAGAGGGUGAUCGGCCACAUUGGGACUGAGACACGGCCCAGACUCCUACGGGAGGCAGCAGUGGGGAAUAUUGCACAAUGGGGGAAACCCUGAUGCAGCAACGCCGCGUGAGUGAUGACGGCCUUCGGGUUGUAAAGCUCUGUCUUCAGGGACGAUAAUGACGGUACCUGAGGAGGAAGCCACGGCUAACUACGUGCCAGCAGCCGCGGUAAUACGUAGGUGGCGAGCGUUGUCCGGAUUUACUGGGCGUAAAGGGAGCGUAGGCGGACUUUUAAGUGAGAUGUGAAAUACCCGGGCUCAACUUGGGUGCUGCAUUUCAAACUGGAAGUCUAGAGUGCAGGAGAGGAGAAUGGAAUUCCUAGUGUAGCGGUGAAAUGCGUAGAGAUUAGGAAGAACACCAGUGGCGAAGGCG